AUGCCCGGUGGCCAUGCACAUUUCCUGACAAUCCAAACGGACACAGGUUUCUUUACUUCACUUGAGUAUUUCGACAUUCAGAACAACUUGCCUUUUAUUGCAGGAUGGAGUCCAUUUCUGAAAGGUGCUUGUUUCCCUGGGAAAAGACGUGAGGAGAAAUGUCACCAGGGAGAUCAUUCAAGAUUGACGUCAAAAUUGGACGUCUAUUCAUGUCCCGAAGACAUCAGGAAAUGCCUUCAAAACCAGCCGCUAGGGGCAACCAAGAGCACUUUUAUCAUCAAGUAGGCUUGGGUUUUGUUAGACUGUUGUGGUGGUGGAUGGGCAUGUGUUCAAUCCCAGUCAUGGACAUUAGUUAGAAUUUUUGGUUUUAACCCUAUCGCAAACCCUAACCUUAACCAUUCGGAAUGUGUGCCUAAACUUAAAUCUUAACUUUGAAAUUUGACGUUUGGAGUAACAGAACGAUACAGAGUAGUAGGAGCAACAAAAACACUUAGAAAUGUGACAUUUGGAGAACGUGGAUGAACGUCUAAUUCUUCAGUGAGACUGAAAGCUUGUUGAGGUGACAGCUAGCUGCCCCUCCAGCUCACACUCUUUCAUGUAGAUCCUGAAAAGACAUAAGAUGAAGCACAACAUUAACCAAAACAUGAGUAAAGUAGAAUUGUGUGAACUUUCUGUAGAUAGCUAGGACUGCCACAUACUUUAUCAAAUUGGAGUGCCAAGGUGAAACAAUGAGUGCAGCUUACCAUUACUUUCACCAUAACAGGUUAUGUGCAAUAAAACUAGCUAGACCCAUUCAUGCUGUAACCGUUCAGGUAGAAACUAAUAUUGCAUAGCAUGAACAUUACAAUCAGCUCACCACAAAUAAAAUCGACGUGACAAAUCAGAACUAUAUAGAAGAAGAGAGAAGUGGUGGGACCAGCACCACCGUGAAAAAUAGGAAUUUAGGCUACCGCGUUACUAACGUUAGGUACAGCUAGUGGCAGUGCAUUGUGCAGUGGCAAGAAAGCUAAUUAUGGCCACAUGACUUACUCAAAACAGUUUUUUUUGCAGCAUUUCUCCUGUCGUGUUCGCCACUGAAUUAAAUACCUGGUAUUGUCGUCAGACCCUGCAACAGAACACAAGCCCUGGUAUUAACAACAAGUAGCUAGCUGGGCUAAUGUUAAAAAAAGUUGUCGCUCAACAGCAAGCAAGAAACCCUGUAGCUA
rnacentral:lncRNA from 8 species